GUGGUAAUGCCGGAUGCUCCAGUUGAUCGCAUGGUCUUCUGGGAAAGCUUUCGCGGUAUGGGAUGGGGUCGCGUCCUAUCAGCUUGACGGCGGGGUAACGGCCCACCGUGGCUUCGACGGGUAGCCGGCCUGAGAGGGCGACCGGCCACAUUGGGACUGAGAUACGGCCCAGACUCCUACGGGAGGCAGCAGUGGGGAAUAUUGCACAAUGGGCGCAAGCCUGAUGCAGCGACGCCGCGUGAGGGAUGGAGGCCUUCGGGUUGUAAACCUCUUUUAUCGGGGAGCAAGCGAGAGUGAGUUUACCCGUUGAAUAAGCACCGGCUAACUACGUGCCAGCAGCCGCGGUAAUACGUAGGGUGCAAGCGUUAUCCGGAAUUAUUGGGCGUAAAGGGCUCGUAGGCGGUUCGUCGCGUCCGGUGUGAAAGUCCAUCGCUUAACGGUGGAUCCGCGCCGGGUACGGGCGGGCUUGAGUGCGGUAGGGGAGACUGGAAUUCCCGGUGUAACGGUGGAAUGUGUAGAUAUCGAAAAAAAAACCCCC
rnacentral:rRNA from 1 species